ensembl:lncRNA
UGUCACUUUUCUGUCAUUUCCUGCCCUCGCACGGACAAAAACGUUAACCGCUUAAAUGACCAGCAUUUUUUUUUUCCCCCUCACUAUGUGUUACGUUUUUUUGAAUGGAAAGUCUAUUUGGCCUGCUGUAAUUUGAGCUCAUUUUCCACAAGUCCUCUAUUUUGGAGCUUUAAAUCUGAACACACACAUGCACGCACGGAGUGUCAUAUCAGUCAUAAGAGAUUGACGUGUUAUACGAUUUUGUUUCGUUUUUUAAUUUAAAUUUCAGUUCUCCACCUGUGUAUGCCCCUCGGAGGGUGCUCGUGUGAAGUGAAGUAUGGUUUCUUUCUUUCUUUUGAUGUUCAGGUUCAUCUCUGUGUAUGUGUAUUAUUUAUUUUCUUCGAACAAAGCUUUUGUGGCACUGGUGAAAGGACGCGCAGUAAGGGCGAGCGGUUUAGUCGCGUCCCGUCGUCCCGUGUUUGCCGGCUCGUCGAGGUCGGAUCCGUCUGCGUGUAAUAUCGCUGUACGUUUAUCUGUGUGAAAAUCCAAUGAACCACGUUUUUGUUUCUCCAGCCGGAAAACACGAUAUAACACUGGAUCAUUCCCUUUGGCGUUUAAUGCUGUUGCAUGCCCGAGCUGGGGAAUUUUAGCUUGGAGAUUAGUUCGACUUUAGGUUCGUACGUCUGUUCUGAUUCAGAGCCGCGUACCAGGAUCUUUAACCACUUUGUUUUGUUUGGUUUCCCUUCGCGAUUGAUCGCGUCGUGAACGCUUCUCACUGGAAAAAGGGAUGCUCUCAUGUUCAUGAUGUUAUGUUCCGGAACCUUUCAUUAAAAUCACUGUGUGUUUACGGGUGUGCCGUCUGUCUGACUUUUCUAACGCCGCGGUACAUGAUGUUACUGCGUGUGUAUGAGCUGCUAUUCUUUAUACAGAUGGGUAGGGUUUACACUCGGACAGUAAUCGGUGAUACGACGACCUUUUUAGGAAUUGGUGAGAAAAUACCGCAGGCGUGUGCAAACUAAAAUUAUAGCUGUGUUUAAAAAAUGACUUAGAAAUGAUACUUAAGUGAAACGAUAACAUAUAAAGAUAACCGAUUCGAUUAAAAGUGGACGUAUCCAGUCAAAAAAUAUAUUCAAGUGAAAGUAUAAAAGUUACUACCAUCGUUCAGUCUUCAGCAUUAGCUGCUUCGCUAAUAAUCCUAACUAGUGGGAUCGAUGCUAGGCUAACCUAGCAUUAGCAAAGAAAACGGGAUAACUUGGUCAGUCGUGUACAGCCACUUAAUGCAAAAUUAGUGAAACUUACCUCAGUUAUGAUUCGUCUUGGUUUCCUCCAGCAUACUGAAACAUUUGAGCGAGGCAGAGCCGGGGGCGCAUCCUCACAUUCCGGACCGCAGUGUGCUGUAGUAGAUUGGCCCACUUCAGAGGAACGUGGAUAGCAUCUGUAGCGCUAACUAUGUUGCGUAGCGCGAGUAUAUUUUUUUCCGUGGAGAAAUGAGAGAGUAUUCGAUUUCAAUAAUCUUUACGUAAAGUAUAAAUACGUCACAAUAGUGUGUGUUUUAGCUGUAUUGCGUGCAUAAAGCAACAGUGAUCGAUUAAUGCUUUUACGAAGACAUUAGGAUUGGUUAUCAUUAAUCGCAAUAAUUAUGGGGUGUAAUUUGGUUGUUCAACGGGUGAAUUUAUAUUUAUGGCGUUCGGCAGGCGCUUUGGCUUGCGUUCAUCUCAUUUAUCCGACUGAGCAGUUGAGGGUUAAGGGCCGUAGCAGCUGGGCGGUGCUGGGAUUUGAACUCUCGCCGUUCCCAUCAGAAGUCCAACGUCUUAAACGCUGAGCUGCUACUAUCAGAAAAAAAAUGCUGAUUGGAAAUUAAAAAGGUAACAUUUGACAUUUUAUCAACUGGGUUUGUGUUAGUUCUUAAGUACUGUAGAUCAUUUUUCAUGACUUAAGUCUAGAAUAUGAAAAAUACUUUUAUAAACAUCACACUUAAGGUAAUUAUACACCAGAAUUGCAUUCCUGGAAAAGGAAUAAAGCUCGUCAGCAGACGGAAAUCUCCUGGUAGACGCUGCAUCGACUCUCGACUCGAGAAAACGCACUGGACCGACACCGGCGCCUGACAUGACACCUCAAAUCAUCACAGACUGUGGAAACUUCACACUGGACUUCAAGCAGCUCGGAUUCUGUUCCUCUCCACUCUUCCUCCAGACUCUGGGACCUCGAGUUCCAAAUGAUACGCAACGUUUACUUUCUUCUGAAAAGCCUACUAAGACAGAAUGCAUGAUUUUAUGCUUAAAUGUAACUGGCGUUAAAUAUUGCAGUUUGAACGGGUUUCAAUGGGGACAUUUUUGUCAUUAAGGUCCUGAGUGUAACCAUUUUGUGUACCUAGUUUAAAAUAGAUUUAUGAAAGCAAAGGAGGGUGAAAUAUUAAAAUUCCAAUAAAAAUAUGCACAUUUUGCAAAAUGUAUGCUGUUUGCCUUAACACAGACAAAAUGAUUAAAUAACCAAAAAUGUACAUGAGGACGCACAGGGGUUAAUGUUGAUGAGUCCACCAUCAGGAGGACACUGAACAACAACGGUGUGCAUGGCAGGGCUGCAAGGAGAAAGUCACCGCUCUCCAGAAAGAACACUGCUGCACUUCUGCAGUUUACUAAAGACCACGUGAACAAGCCAGAAGGGUAUUAGAAAAAUGUUUUGUGGAUGGAGGAGAACAAAAUAGAAGUUUUGGUUUAAAUGUGAAGCGUUGUGUUUGGAGAAAGGAAAACGCU